AAGCUGUCAUAAUAUCUUUUUAAAUCUGAGUGUGGGAGUCCCACUACAAUUUCAGUCCCACUUUUUUCUAAAGGUCGAAGUCUUUUCACGGGCAAGCCCUAAUUUUUAUGUGAGUCUUCUUCACUCUCGUUCCAAGUUCGUAACUGUCAUUGAACGUUCUUCACUCUCGUUCCAAGUUCAUCACUGUUAUUCAAGUUCUUCACCGUCAUUUAUCCCCAUCCGUAAAUUCUCUUUUCCCCGUUCAUCAUUUGUGGUGAUGAAGUCACCAAAGAGGAGUUCUACCGUCAUCGUGAAGCAUGGGGUAAGAAUAUAAGCAAUCCAUACUAAACAUAGUACAUACUAGUUUGAAGGAUAGGAUGAAAUCGUGGAGAGAGGCACAGCAAAUCGCAACCUGGUUGGGGUUUAGGGUUCGAUUCGGUGCUUGCAAUCCCUAAAUCCUCUCUUCCGCAGACCAAGCCAUCAAAGUGGUAAUGAUGCUCAGCUAUCCAAGAGAAGUGGUAGUGCUUUACGAACUUCUUUAUGCUUGUCUAUCAGAUUUAAGCGAAAAUCACAAGAAACAUGGUCGGAGGCUUCUGGAAGGUUCCUCGUCGCCGCUUAUGCCGAUUUGGAUGCGCCCAACCUCCACUGGGAGAAGAUGGCUCUGUGUCCCAUUCCUCGCCUUGACGGAGCCGCCAUUUAACUUCGCGAUCUCCUAUCAUCUUCCCCGGUUACACCAACAUCGUUUAUUUUCAGGUGCAUUCUCGUGUUGAUGUGUACAAUUUUAAUGAUAAUACUUGGAGAAGGAGAUUCGACAUGCCGAAAGAGAUGGCGCACUCGCAUUUGGGAAUGGUGACCGAUGGUAGAUACAUUUAUGUCGUCACUGGACAGUAUGGCCCGCAUUGUAGAGGUUCCACUGCUCGUACGUUUAUGCUCGACUCUGAAACUAGAAAAUGGAAGGACCUACCUCCUUUGCCAGUACCUAGGUGUUGCCCACUACUGUCUUAGUUGUUAUGUAUGCAAAGAAAAGGAGAAAAUUUGGUUUUGUUGUACAAUCCAAAGGUAGAAACAACACUAAGAAGACACAAUAACAAGAGCAGAAAACAGAGAAAAAUUCUCAAGUCACCGCUAGAGCCGCAACCUGAAGUCGUAGAACCAGAGAUUGAUUUUGAGACUUCACCAUUUGAGUUAAGUGUUGAGUUACAAAGAAGAGAGGGGUCUAUGAGAGAGUUUUCUAGAGGUCCUUGGAGAAAGGUGUUUCCCAGAUUCGUGGAGGAGGUUUCAAGACUUGCAUAGGAGGUCUCAAGAGGUAGGAGAGUUAAUCCAUGUCUUUUACCUUGUGAAGGAUUUGUAUGAAUUGGAGGAAUGGUUUUGAGCACAUGAUGAGCAUGUUGGAGUUAUCCUUGCUUUUUGGUUUUCUAUUUGAACCUAUGGAUAUGCUAUUAUCAAUAUGAUAAGGGAGAUAAUCAAAUAUUGGGUUGAGAAUUCUGAAUAUAAAAGAAGUUUGAAGGUAAGGUUGUAGGGGAGCCAAACUACGUUCUUGUUUUAAUGCAAAAUGUGUAUAUGCUUUGAUUGGUGAAAGUUUGCUCUAUAUUAUGAUGAAUCUGUGAUUUUGAUGUGAUUGACAUGAUGAUGAGUUGUAGUUAUGGAUUUAUUAAUAAUCAUGAGUUGAUAUUUAUGAUGGAUUUUCGUAUGUAUGAUUUGGUAAGUGGUGUGAGGAUUUAAGAUGGAUUGAAAUCUGGAAAUUUUUUAUUUGGCCAAGUCUUUCACUAUGUGCAAACAUCAAAUAUUUUGGAUGGAUGAUCAUAUGAGAAAGAUGAUUUCCUAGUUGGUAAGAGAUGACUAAUGGAAAUUACUCCUCGCUUUGUUUUUCUAAGUUUAGAGUUUGGUGUGAUAUGAGUAUGGAGUUAAUAAUGAGACUAAGUAUGAGAUUAUUAUUGGAUGACCGAGAAUAUGUUGAAUCUAUGUUGAAUCUAAGUUGUGGUGAUUUUGGAAUGACAAGUGUGUUAUGAAAAUAAUGUUGGAUGAAAUUAAUAAGGAAUUUAACAUGGUGAUGUUAGGUAUAUGCUCGAAGAGUAGAGUUAGAGUAAAGUGUAUUGCAUAAACUUGACGUUGUUGAUUUUUAAAUGAUCAUGAUGAUGUGAUUUGUGAUAAAAAGAUUUGUGAUAAAAAUGUUUUGAACAUUUUUAUGAAAUAGAACUUGGUUUCAAAAUGUUUGAAGAAGGUGAUUUUCAAAAACCAUAGAGUUUUAUGACUUAUGUAGUGUUGGAAAUCAUUUUUGGUCAAAAUAUGAUGAAAUAAUCAAUGAUAUGAUAUGUUAAUCGAUUAUGAUGCAAUAAUAAUAGAUUAUCAUCAUCCAUAAUUGAUUAUUAUGCUAAGAUAAUCGAUUAGCAUCACAAAUAAUCGAUUAUACUUGCUUCUAGAUGAAGUUUUUAUGUUUGGAAAUGAUCUAGUACAUGUUCUUAGGUUAUGAAUGGUAUGUAUUGGCUAAGAAUGGAUGGUGUUUAGUACCCGUGGUUGGAUUAUUGACUUGAAGUUAUAAUGACGUUAGAUAUGGGAUGUAUUAAUGAAAAAUUAAGUUUGGAUGCAAGCAAUUGCUAUUAUUAUGAUUGUUUCUGCAUGUUGGCAGAAUGUGUGUUCCUAGUUAUGUGAGGCAGUGGGAAAGAGAUUUCUAUUCUUCACCUAUGUGAGGUAGUGGGAGAGCAAUGACUCGAGUUUGGCACUUUCUUGCCUGUGUGAGAUAGUGGGGAAGAAUAUUUGGUUGACCCGAACCACCUAGUCUCAAGAAGAAAGAGUGAGAUGUGAAACUAAUAGUUAUGAGAGAAGUACAUAAUAGUUCGAGAAUUAUCAAAACGAGGGUAAUGCAAGGAAGAGAUCAUAAGAUUGGAAUAGGUAGAGAGUACUUAAGUAGAGAAAUAGAGAGAUAAUGAUCUUAUGAGUAACAUGGAGAUGGAUGAACUUGUACUGUUGUAUGAGUAGUAUGGGUGAGUUUGAUUAUUUGAUAUUCAUCUUGUGUUGAUGAUUUAGUUCACCUACUUGUUUGUCUUUGUGUUUGUGUUUGUUUUCUUGCAAGAAUCGUAUAACUCGUGUUGUUAUACAGGAGCAGAUGAAGUAGGAGUUGUUUAAAGUAAGGAGUGCGUUGGGAAACUGUUAGGAUUUCAAACUAUAUUAUGAAUAAUAUUGCCCAUGAGUUGUAUUCUAAACUUACUUUCAUUUUUAUUUCUAAAUAAACUUUAUGAUUGUAAGGUUUUAAUUUUUACUAGAUUCAUCUUGUGUUGAUGACUCAGUUCACCUACUUGUUUGUCUUUGUGUUUGUGCUUGUGUUCUUGCAGGAUCGUAUAACUCGUGUUUUUAUACGAGAGCGGAUGAAGUAGGAGUGCGUUGGGAAAUUGUUGGGAUUUCAGACUGUAUUAGGCAAAAUAUUGCCCAUGAGUUGUAUUCUAAACUUACUUUCAGUUUUAUUUCUAAAUAAACUUUAUGAUUGUAAGGUUUUAAUUUUUACUAGAUUCAAUAAUCGUAUCAGAAGUUAUUUUCC